AGGCACCCAACUGCUCUCAGUAACGGGCGCAGAUGUGUACGACCAGCUAUGCCUCUCAGUUUUCCCAAGCUGUAGAGCAAAGAUAAGCCUGAAUAGCUUCAUUCUGGAGUAAGAUAUCACACAGGCAAUGGCGAAGACAGAAGUCAACUCUGCUGCUUGGAAAAAUGAUAUUCCCCAAAGGAAACUCCAAGAAUCUUCUUCUUUUAAGCAGGUGAGUUAGUAGGAAGCACCACGGCAAUUAACUCCUGUUAGGUUUCAUAAUGAGAUACAGAACUGUUCAGAGCAAUGCAGAAAUAGCAUUUGCUGGGAUAAGAACAGGCUCUGAUUACAAACAAGGAUGGCUUCUUCUAUGUUUUACUUUGCAUAAGCACACACCUUUUCAGAACGUGAAGUCAAACCUUCCCCUCUCCAACUAUUUGCACACUAUCUGGAAGCCUCCAGAUAAAUGUGAGCCUUUUAAAGCAGGCCCUCCCAUCUCAAGCAAAGUAUCGUUUUACUUUAUAUUAAUGAUGCUAUUUUUUGCAUUCGUGUAUUUAAUUGAAAGCUGAUGAGUGAUAUUCUUUAACAGUUAGAGCCAUCAAAAUGAAAACCAUGCACAAGGAAUGUAAAAGCAAACCUGAAAAUGCAAUUGGAAGUUUAGAAAUUAAAAAUGCUUACAGCAGUUAUUAAGGGAAAAGGCUGGUAGAGAAAUCUAAGCAUAACAGAAAUGGAAUACGUGCAUUUUAUGUCACGCUCUGUACAGGAGCUGAGACUCUGUUUCAAGCCUUUUUUCCAGGAUCACCAGGAUUGGAAGCGAUGGAACUUAUAUUUAUUUCCUCCUCUACCCUAAGCUCAGUCUGCACAAACUUCCUUUAGGCAAUAAAGAAACUCUCAUCCUCCAGCACUUGUAUUUUGGAAACUGGACUUCCAGCAAACCUCCAAUUAGUCAUGAAGCUGCAGCUGCUGCAGUGCUGUGCUGUUGAUGACACGUCCUGGUACAACUACUCCCAUUUUUUAAGAUGGUGUAAGAGCAGAAUUUUUCUUUGAUAAGCUUCUGGAGUCAGCUCAGAUAAGCUGAAGGACAAUACUGACAAUGCUAUUAAAAUCUGCAUCUGUUCUCCCACUGGAAAACCAGUCAGGCAUAGACAUGCAGCGUUCACCUACAUCUGGCUACUGUAUACCACAAACCCAACUUGAGAAGCCACAUUCAGUUUCCACAAUAACAUUGAUAAUGAUACAGUACUACUCCUAUCCAAGUAAACACUGCCCUUCAGAUCUGAAUCCUGUGUUUUUCAAGUUACAAUUACAGUAUCACUCCCCUAAAACAAGGGUUGUCAAACUGUAUAUGAGAAGAAAAUAGAAACUAUAAUGAAUAAAUACAUGUUCUGUCUUGGAUACUUGUCUCACUCACACAAGGGCAGAGCUGCUUUAGUAAAAGAGAGGAACCUAAGCAGUCUGUAGAUAAUCCUUUCCCCUUCUCUAUCUUCAUUAUUAAGAGACGUUGUAAUGAGAAAAUUGAUACAGGUGGUUUAAGCUGUAACAGGAGACAAGGAAAAGUAAUAUUCUUGGAAAAGUUGGUUGAGUCAAGUUAUGAACACAGCCAGCCAUACUUGGCCCAACAGCCUUCACAAGGCAGCUCUUACACAGCCUCAGGUCCCUUAUUCUAUUACCUGCCCAUAAGCAGAGCCCGUUCUACACUAGGAAGCCAACUUUAAACUUGUGGUUUUCUUCAUAAUCCACACGAGUGAAACUAACCUCUAAUUCGUAGUUGAGCCAAAUAUCUUUGCUGACAUCUGUAUCUGAAAUCCCAGCACAACACUUGCACUGAUUUUCAUCCAGCCGGGAUAAAAUGUAUUCAGUGAUCACACAUUUGAUCAUCAACACAACUGAUAAUAUAUCCCAGAUCUACAGAGGAAAAGGCACAGUUCAGUCCUACUAAUUGGAAGUGAGGUAACGCAUAGGUACUUAUGGUUUUGGUACCUUGCUAACUUCGCAGUCAGUUCUCUGUUCAAAAGCCUGCACCUCUGGCAGUAAAUACCUUUCGCAGAUCUGAAGAGAUGUCACCAAAAACCUAAACUCAAUCCAAUAACCUAUUGUCUUGUCUUUUCAGACACGUCCUGUAGCAGGAACAAACAUGAACGAACCACAGACACAGUCAGUGCAUGGUGCUGUUAUGGCUAUUUUAUAGUAAUCCUGACAAAAGUUCAGAAGCUACAUCAGCUAUUUGCAAUUUAUGGUUCCAGUUUUCUUAGUAGACACUGAAAAUUUAGUUGCACCUGGCAUUAUUUGCUACCUACAGCUACUACGGUAUAACAGUGAUACAAUUUAUUAUGCCAAAAGACAAGCAAGCAGAAGAAGAAAGUAUCAAGUACUUCAAAGGAAACAGCAGCCACCCUGCUGGCUGUCACUUGCUUUUGCUACUAUAUUAGCUGUACUGCGCUAAGGAGUGUUUUGUAAGGCUGGGAGGACUGCAUCUGCAGUCCCACUUGUGUGUCUAAGAUGAACUGGAAGCUAGAAAUCUGUAGAGGCCUUGGCUGUUACUUUUAGAGGCUUUUUAUUCUCUACUUUCAUUGCUUCUUUUUCAUAGUAGCUCAUACAGUGCUCUGUUUUGGACUUGUGAUGAAAAAUAGUGCUGAUAACACCCUUCUGUGCUAGUUGUUGCUGAGCAGCACUUCAACAGCAUCAAGGUCUUUCCUGUUUCUCACGCUGCCCUCCUAGCUAUGAGGCUGGGAUGCACAAGAAGCCGGGACGGGGCACAGCCCAGACAGUUGGCCAAGCAGAUAUUCCAUGCCACGUGACACUGUACUCAGCAAUAAAGGCUGGGAGGACAUUCAGAGUUACUGCAUUUGCCUUCCUCGGUAAGGGUUAUUUGCAAUGGAGCCCUGCCUUCCUGGAAAUGGCUGUCCAUCUGCCUGCCAAUGGGAAACAGUGAAUGAGUCGCUACCUGAUGACCAACAGGGACAGAACUGGAAACUCCCCAGGGAAGUGGUCACAGCCCCAAGACUGGCAGUGUUCAAGAAGCACUUGGACAAUGUUCCCAGAUACGUUGUUUAACUCUCAGUUUUCCCUCUGUGGAGUUUGGAGUUGGACUCAAUAAUCCUUAUGGGUCUUUUUCAACUCACGGUAUCUUCUGAUUUUGUGAGUCCCCUAUUUUGCUCUGCUAGCAUGCACAGCUUUUGGAGGGAGAGAGAAAACAGCUGUAUGAUGCUCUACUGCCAGCCAGAGUCAAUCCAAAACAUCCCUUUUUGUCACCCAACACGGGGCUCAAAGGGUUCCAUAUAACAAUAAAUUUGAUUGGAGAGUGCUAGACUGAAAUCACAGAUGUUAUAUCUACUUAGCUAUUAAUUGGCAGGCUCCUGCACUUACUGCAGGGCUUGCUUACCUUACAGUAUACUGGACUGCAGUCCUUGUUAGUGGCUGCUUAUUGUUCCUCCUAUAGUUUUUACCAUUUUACUCUACUGUGCCUGGGAACAUUUUCAUAUCAGCAAUGGCCGUGCACCUGGGCUGACAGAUGGCCAGGGCACUGCUGCUGUUCAGGGCAGGCUGGAAUGCCAAUGGAAACUCAAGUCAAAAGGACUGCGGCUGUAGACAAGGCCGAGCAGGAAAACGUACACCUCAAAACAUCCUUGUGGAUAAAGCAAUGCUGAAACACCUCAAAGGAACUGUGGGUAAACCCACAAAACACAAAAUCUGUGGCACAUGGUGAAGCUGCAGAGGAGCAGCUCCACCCCUAAGGGAGCAUGGCACACGCAGAAGCCCACUCUGGAAGAGUCCAUGGCAAUGAUAAAACCUAAGGCUGAGGGAAUAGUAUCUGCAUAAAUCAAAGGAUGGAAAGGCCAACAGUUAACAGGGAUGCAUUAGAUACUGUGAGACCUAAGGGUGACAUACACAUUAUGGAAUAAGAGGUGGAGAUCCCUCCUUGGUGGAGCUUUCCCCUGUGAACCUGGAAUCUUCUAAUAUGGGCAAGCAAUCUUCUUCCCUUUCUUUAUAGCACCUUUCUAUCAUGCUGAUCCUUCUGAUCCAACACCAAGCUGGGAGGGAGUGUUGAUCUGCCAGAGGGGAGAAAGGCACAGCAUAGGAACCUGGAUAGAUGGACCAAGGUAAACUGUAUGAGUUUCGAUAGGGCCAAGUGUCGGGUCCUGCAUUUUGGUCAGGUUAGGCUGUAGAUUAACUCAAUCUUUAGGGUCUUUUCCAAUCUGAGUGGUUCUAUGAUUCUGUCGUUACACCUCUGGUGAAACACCUUUUCCCAUCAGAUCAAUCUGUCCAAUUACUAUAUCCUGCUACUAGGUUAGGGUGCACAGUAAGCUGGGAUGGAGCACAGCUGUGACAGGUUAUCCCAGCAGUCCCAAGGAAGGUUCUCCAUGCCCUACGGCAUCAUGCUUAGUAAUAGAAGCUGGGCAGGGGCAUUCAGAGCUGUCAUUUGUCUUCCCAAGAAACUGCUAAAUGUGACAAAUGCUUUCCUAGAAAUGCCCACAUAUCUGCCUACCAGUAGGCAACUGUGAAUUAAUUCCUGAUUUUGCUUUGCUUGCACACAGCUUUUGUAUUAGCUAUUAAGCUGUCUUUAUCUCUACCCAGGAGUUUUCCCACUUUUACCCUUCUGAUUCUCUCUCCAUCUCGUGUGAGGGGAGCAGCUACAUAGCACUGAGCUGCCUGCUGGAGCCAACAGCACACAUUUGCUGCCUGACCCCACAUUUGCUGGAGCUGGAGAAAACUCCUGUGCAGGAGAAGUAUCGACUUGAUUAUAUUUAAACUUCUGAGCAAGCCUCUGAGCAACCAUGCUUCAGGACUUGCUCUGAGCACCUAUUCACACCUCCAACAUCUGAUGGAAAGCAGGAGCAAGCUGAUAAGCUGCUGCAGGUGCACUGAGGUCUGACCGGAACAACUCCACUCUGCCUGCUAUCACGGGGUUUAAUUUCUGCAUUAUUAUUGUGCAACACUAAGGUGGGUACUCAGACAGCCUGCCAAGAUAAAUUAAAGGCCUACUGGCUCUUAACAAGAAACAGUAUCCCCAUCCUUGACUUAGAGGUUACAGGUGACACCGCACAUUAGGCUCACCUUGCUUUUGUCUUCUGCCUGCAGCUGAGAUACUCAAACGUAAUCACGAGCAGUCAUGCAUGAUUUGAGACAUUUGGCUCCUGGCAUCAGUAAAUGCCCAGUAUUGCAGCAUAAAGACCAGCUGGGGAACUCUUCAUGCAAGUUCUGUGAACAAAAGAACGCGCUGCCUUCCUUCGACAGCAGAAACAGAUACUAACUGCGCAAACAGUUACAAAAAAAAACCCAAGAUAGCCUUUGAAAUUCAUAGGAGCGAGCAAAAGGAUUUGAGUGAACUUCACGCUUUCAGGAGAAGCAUCUAAAAAUAGGUAGUGUCAGCUAUGCAAGAAUUUAAUGAGCAGUGGCCAGCACGGAGAGAUCUGUCCAAUUUUUAAAGCGUCAGAGUUAGCAGAGGAAAUGACUGCAGGUCCCGAGAUCCAAAAACUAAAGCUGAUCCUCCCCCUUCUGAUUCAAGUACCCACAUACCUAUGGAGAGAAAGAGCUCCCUGGGCUGAAGCAGGCUGAAUCCAUUGGAGAUACACGCCACAAUUCAAGCACGGGUUAUAAAGUAUGUUUUGAAGCUCUGACGGUGCACGCUAUGCAGAUCGUUCCACUUUACAAGCGCUCAUUUGGGAUUUCUGAUGCCCGUUUUGCUGUACAUUCUUAACAUACAGAUGAGAGAGCUAAGAACACAGAGACUCUUCAGUUCCCUUCCUGCUCGUAGCCACUCUUUGAGGCACAGAGAUGGUCCCCCUCAGCACCCACAUAUGUGUAUUUUAAUUCAUUACCAAAGGCAGAAUCAGACCGUUCUGCUUGCACUUGUAAAGGAAACUUUCCACCCCAACUAAAAACUGCAGGCAAGAAGAAGACGGUGCAUUAUACGAUGCAUUUCUAUGCGUUCAGUGCUGGCAAGCAAUGAAAAAAAGUUGCGCUGAAGCCCUUCUGAAUGAGGCUAUAAAGUGCUGUGAAAAUAACGUUGCCUCAAGGAAAGUCUUCCAACCUAUUUGCAAACCAUCCCAGCCACAAGAACAGAACCCAGAAACAACACGCACUUAAUCUGGCCGUGCUGGAGAGAGAAAAAAGGUCUCUAAAAACGUAAAAAGCUAUUAAACUGAAAGUGAACGGAGCUUGGUAAAUCACCCCCAUCAAAGCGUUACGGGCACAUAAAGGCACACAGGUGAAGAGGCUAAUAAAAGCGAAUGAACACAGCUCAGA